UACAGAGGUCUCAAGCGUUGUUCGGAUUCAUUGGGCGUAAAGGGUGCGUAGGUGGCGCUGUAAGUCGGGUGUGAAAUUUCGGAGCUUAACUCCGAAAACUGCAUUCGAUACUGCGGUGCUUGAGGACUGGAGAGGAGACUGGAAUUCAUGGUGUAGCAGUGAAAUGCGUAGAGAUCAUGAGGAAGACCAGUGGCGAAGGCGGGUCUCUGGACAGUUCCUGACACUGAGGCACGAAGGCCAGGGGAGCAAACGGG
rnacentral:rRNA from 1 species